GGAACGAACGCUGGCGGCAUGCCUAAUACAUGCAAGUCGAACGAACUCUUCGGAGUUAGUGGCGCACGGGUGCGUAACGCGUGGGAAUCUGCCCCUUGGUUCGGAAUAACAGUUGGAAACGACUGCUAAUACCGGAUGAUGACAAAAGUCCAAAGAUUUAUCGCCAAGGGAUGAGCCCGCGUAGGAUUAGCUAGUUGGUGAGGUAAAGGCUCACCAAGGCAACGAUCCUUAGCUGGUCUGAGAGGAUGAUCAGCCACACUGGGACUGAGACACGGCCCAGACUCCUACGGGAGGCAGCAGUAGGGAUAUUGGACAAUGGCGAAAGCCUGAUCCAGCAAUGCCGCGUGAGUGAUGAA
rnacentral:rRNA from 1 species